rnacentral:rRNA from 1 species
AAGGUAGCAUAAUCAUUAGUUUUUUAAUUAAAAGCUUGUAUGAAAGGCUGGACGAGGUAAAAUCUGUCUCUAUUUAAAUUAUAGUAGAAUUUAACUUUUAAGUUAAAAGGCUUAAAUAUUAUUAAAAGACGAGAAGACCCUAUAGAUCUUUAUAAUUUAUUAGAUAAGAUUAAUUUAGAAUUAUUUAUAUUUUAUUUAAUUAAAUUAUUUUAUUGGGGUAAUAGAAAGAUUUAAUUAAUUCUUUUUUAUAAUAAACAUUAAUUUAUGAAUAUUAAAUGAUCCAGUUUUACUGAUUAUAAGAUUAAGUUACCUUAGGGAUAACAGCGUAAUUUUUUUAGAGAGUUCAUAUCGAUAAAAAAGUUUGCGACCUCGAUGUUGGAUUAAAGAUUAUUUUAGGUGCAGAAGCUUAAUAAUUUUGGUCUGUUCGACCAUUAAAUCUUUAC